UACGUAGGGGGCGAGCGUUGUCCGGAUUUAUUGGGCGUAAAGAGCGUGUAGGCGGCCAGGUAGGUCUGCUGUGAAAACUCGAGGCUCAACCUCGAGACGUCGGCGGAAACCAUCUGGCUAGAGUCCGGAAGAGGAGAGUGGAAUUCCCAGUGUAGCGGUGAAAUGCGUAGAUAUUGGGAGGAACACCAGUGGCGAAGGCGGCUCACUGGACCGGAACUGACGCUGAGGCGCGAAAGCGUGGGGAGCGAACAGG
rnacentral:rRNA from 1 species